UAAGGUUAGAGCUCUUUUAGAAUUUGUCUGGCGGGCUUGGAAAGCCCCA
rfam:Gorilla gorilla gorilla genomic chromosome, chr11, whole genome shotgun sequence